CAGGCCAGAGCAACUACUGAAUCCUCCUCUUCCAGCUGACCAAUCAGAGACUCAGGAACCAUCAGGAACAGGAUCCGCUGCCUAGUCACGCUGUAAUUGUUUUCCAGAGACAUGGUGUGUGCAGGUGUGAAGGAGAUUCUCCUGCUGGCUCUGAUGGUGACAGGGGUGCUUGGGGGGCUUGGGGAUCACCGUAAAAAUGACAAACGACCUGCCUCUGCCCAUCCAACG